rnacentral:rRNA from 1 species
UACAGAGGUCUCAAGCGUUGUUCGGAUUCAUUGGGCGUAAAGGGUGCGUAGGCGGCGCGGUAAGUCGGGUGUGAAAUCUUGGAGCUUAACUCCGAAACUGCAUUCGAUACUGCCGUGCUUGAGGACUGGAGAGGAGACUGGAAUUUACGGUGUAGCGGUGAAAUGCGUAGAGAUCCGGAGGAACACCGACGGCGUAGGCAGCGCCCUGGACGACACCUGACGCUGAGGCACGGGAAGCUGGGGGAGCGAACAGG